UACGUAGGGACCAAGCGUUGUUCGGAUUUACUGGGCGUAAAGGGCGCGUAGGCGGCAAUUCAAGUCAUCUGUGAAAUCUCCCGGCUUAACUGGGAGGGUGCGCUAUAGACUGUGGGACUAGAGUGUGGGAGAGGAAAGUGGAAUUCCUGGUGUAGCGGUGAAAUGCGUAGAUAUCAGGAGGAACACCGGUGGUGUAAACGGCUUUCUGGACCAUAACUGACGCUGAGGCACGAAAGCGUGGGUAGCAAACAGG
rnacentral:rRNA from 1 species